rnacentral:rRNA from 1 species
UUUAUUUGAGUUGUAGAGUAGAAUCUAAACUUGAAGAAAUGAUAGAAAAAAAGAAGCAUGAAAUUUAUUAUAGGGACCAGGAUUAGAUACCCUGUUACUUUUAAUUAAGAGGUUUUGGAAUAAUAGUAUUAAUGAAAUUUAACGGAUUUGGCGGCAAGAUAGCCCCUUAGAGGAACCUGCCCUGUAAACGAUGAACCACGAGGGACGUAACUUUCUUUGGUAAUCAGUUUGUAUACCGCUGUUGUCAGUUAGAUUCUUGAGAAUAUUUUCGUUUAUGAUAAUUUCAUUGACUUCAAGUAAAGGUGCAGCUUAUGUGAAAGGUAGAGGUGGGUUACAUUUAUAAGAAUAAAACGGAUAAGAUAAAUGAAAAGAUCUUUGAAGGUGGAUUUAACUGUAAAACUUAAGUAGGUUUGGUGAGAGCUCUAUCUUGUGUACACACCGCCCGUCGCUCUCUUUUUUAAAAC